rnacentral:rRNA from 1 species
AACGAACGCUGGCGGCAGGCUUAACACAAGCAAGUCGAACGCAUCCUUCGGGGUGAGUGGCAGACGGGUGAGUAACGCGUGGGAACGUGCCCUUCAGUUCGGGAUAACCCAGGGAAACUUGGGCUAAUACCGGAUACGUGCGAGAGCAGAAAGAUUUAUCGCUGAAGGAGCGGCCCGCGUCUGAUUAGCUAGUUGGUGGGGUAAUGGCCCACCAAGGCGACGAUCAGUAGCUGGUCUGGGAGGAUGAUCAGCCACAUUGGGACUGAGACACGGCCCAAACUCCUACGGGAGGCAGCAGUGGGGAAAAUUGGACAAUGGUCGCAAGCAUGAGCCAGCCAUGCCGCGUGAGUGAUGAAGGCCUUAGGGUUGUAAAGCUCUUUCGUCCGGGACGAUAAUGCCGGUACCGGAAGAAGAAGCACCGGCUAACUACGUGCCAGCCGCCGCAGUAA